UAUCUGGUUGAUCCUGCCAGUAGUCAUAUGCUUGUCUCAAAGAUUAAGCCAUGCAUGUCUAAGUAUAAGCAAUUUAUACAGUGAAACUGCGAAUGGCUCAUUAAAUCAGUUAUCGUUUAUUUGAUAGUUUCUUUACUACAUGGAAUACCUGUGGUAAUUCUAGAGCUAAUACAUGCUUAAAAUCCCAACUUACGAAGGGAUGUAUUUAUUAGAUAAAAAAUCAAUGUCUUCGGACUUCUGAUGAUUCAUAAUAACUUUUCGAAUCGCAUGGCUUUAUGCUGGCGAUGGUUCAUUCAAAUUUCUGCCCUAUCAACUUUUGAUGGUAGGAUAGUGGCCUACCAUGGUUUCAACGGGUAACGGGGAUAAGGGUUCGAUUCCGGAGAGGGAGCCUGAGAAACGGCUACCACAUCCAAGGAAGGCAGCAGGCGCGCAAAUUACCCAAUCCUAAUUCAGGGAGGUAGUGACAAUAAAUAACGAUACAGGGCUUUAUGUCUUGUAAUUGGAAUGAGUACAAUUUAAAUACCUUAACGAGGAACAAUUGGAGGGCAAGUCUGGUGCCAGCAGCCGCGGUAAUUCCAGCUCCAAUAGCGUAUAUUAAAGUUGUUGCAGUUAAAAAGCUCGUAGUUGAACUUUGGGCUUGGAGAAUCGGUCCAACUUUGUUGUGUACUGUCUUCUCCAGGUCUUUCCUUCUGGUUCUCAUUUGGGGUUUACUCCAUUUGUUGAUCCAGGAUUUUUACUUUGAAAAAAUUAGAGUGUUCAAAGCAGGCGUUUUGCUCGAAUAUAUUAGCAUGCAAUAAUAGAAUAGGACGAUUGGUUCUAUUUUGUUGGUUUCUAGGACCAUCGUAAUGAUUAAUAGGGACGGUCGGGGGCAUCAGUAUUCAGUUGUCA
rnacentral:ncRNA from 1 species